rnacentral:rRNA from 1 species
UGGCGAAGUUAACGCGAUAAGUCGACCGCCUGGGGAGUACGGCCGCAAGGUUAAAACUCAAAUGAAUUGACGGGGGCCCGCACAAGCGGUGGAGCAUGUGGUUUAAUUCGAUGCAACGCGAAGAACCUUACCUACUCUUGACAUCCUGCGAACUUGUGAGAGAUCACUUGGUGCCUUCGGGAGCGCAGAGACAGGUGCUGCAUGGCUGUCGUCAGCUCGUGUUGUGAAAUGUUGAGUUAAGUCCCGUAACGAGCGCAACCCUUGUCCUUAUUUGCCAGCGGGUAAUGCCGGGAACUCUAAGGAGACUGCCGGUGACAAACCGGAGGAAGGUGGGGACGACGUCAAGUCAUCAUGGCCCUUACGAGUAGGGCUACACACGUGCUACAAUGGCCGGUACAAAGGGUUGCGAGCUCGCGAGAGUCAGCUAAUCCCGAAAAGCCGGUCUCAGUCCGGAUCGGAGUCUGCAACUCGACUCCGUGAAGUCGGAAUCGCUAGUAAUCGUGAAUCAGAAUGUCACGGUGAAUACGUUCCCGGGCCUUGUACACACCGCCCGU